AGUUUUUUGAUUAUUUUAAUUAAAAAUAUUUUCUGCUCAGUGUUUUUAAAUAGCCGCAGUAAUUUGACUGUGCAAAGGUAGCAUAAUAAUUUGUUUCAUAAUUGGGGACUAGAAUGAAUGGAAUUAUGAAAAUUUUUCUUUUUUAAUUUUUUUAUUAUAAUUUGUAGUUAAUGUGAAGAUACAUUAUUUUUUUAAAAAGACAAGAAGACCCUUUUGAGCUUUAUUAUUUUUGUAUUUUUUAUACAAUUAAUAAUUUAAUUGGGGCGAUUAAAGAAGAAAAAAUUUUUAUCUUCUUUUUAUUAUUUUGGACCAAAUUUUUUGGUUUAUAGAAUAAGUUACCAAAGGGAUAACAGCGUAAUUUUUUUUAAGAGUUCUUAUUAAAAAAAAAGAUUACGACCUCGAUGUUGACUUAUAAUUUCCUAUUGGUGCAGUAGUUAAAAUAGGUAGGUCUGUUCGACCUUUAAAAUUUU
rnacentral:rRNA from 1 species